rnacentral:misc_RNA from 1 species
UACGGAGGGUGCAAGCGUUGUUCGGAAUUAUUGGGCGUAAAGCGCGUGUAGGCGGCCAUGAAAGUCUGAUGUGAAAGCCCGGGGCUUAACCCCGGAAGUGCAUUGGAUACUAUGUGGCUAGAGAGUCGGAGGGGAGAUCGGAAUUCCUGGUGUAGGGGUGAAAUCCGUAGAUAUCAGGAGGAACACCGAUGGCGAAGGCAGAUCUCUGGACGAUUUCUGACGCUGAGACGCGAAAGCGUGGGUAGCAAACAGG